rnacentral:tRNA from 1 species
GGGGGUAUAGCUCAGUUGGUAGAGCGCUGCCUUUGCAAGGCAGAUGUCAGGGGUUCGAAUCCCCUUACCUCCA